rnacentral:rRNA from 1 species
CCGGCACGGGUGAGUAACACGUAUCCAACCUGCCGUCUACUCUUGGGCAGCCUUCUGAAAGGAAGAUUAAUACAAGAUGGCAUCAUGAGUUCACAUGUUCACAUGAUUAAAGGUAUUCCGGUAGACGAUGGGGAUGCGUUCCAUUAGAUAGUAGGCGGGGUAACGGCCCACCUAGUCUUCGAUGGAUAGGGGUUCUGAGAGGAAGGUCCCCCACAUUGGAACUGAGACACGGUCCAA